rnacentral:rRNA from 1 species
AAUCAACGCUGGCGGCGUGCCUCAGACAUGCAAGUCGAACGCGAAAGUUUCCUUCGGGGAACAAGUAGAGUGGCGCACGGGUGAGUAACACGUAGGUAAUCUACCUUCGGAUGGGGAAUAACAAUCGGAAACGGUUGCUAAUACCGCAUAAUGCAGCGGCACCUAAUGGUGACAGUUGUUAAAGCGGGGGAUCGAAAGACCUCGCGUCUGAAGAGGAGCCUGCGGCGGAUUAGCAGUUGGUAAGGUAACGGCUUACCAAGGCUACGAUCCGUAGCCGGCCUGAGAGGGCGGUCGGCCACACUGACACUGACAUACGGGUCAGACUCCUAC